rnacentral:rRNA from 1 species
CACGUAGUUAGCCGGUACUUCUUCUGCAGGUACCGUCACUUUCGCUUCUUCCCUGCUGAAAGCGGUUUACAACCCGAAGGCCGUCAUCCCGCACGCUGCGUCGCUGCAUCAGGGUUUCCCCCAUUGUGCAAUAUUCCCCACUGCUGCCUCCCGUAGGAGUCUGGGCCGUGUCUCAGUCCCAGUGUGGCCGGUCGCCCUCCCAGGCCGGCUACCCGUCGUCGCCUUGGUAGGCCAUUACCCCACCAACAAGCUGAUAGGCCGCGAGCCCAUCCCGAUCGAAAAAACUUUCCACCAUCCCACAUGCGUGGAACGGUCAUAUCCGGUAUUACGACCCAAGUUUCCCAGGCUUACUCCCGAAAUCAGGGGCUAGGUUACUCACGUGUUACUCUACCCGUUCGCCUACUCACUCCACAGGUGCAACGCACCCGGCUUCCAGCGUUCGACGUUGCCUA